rnacentral:rRNA from 1 species
AUUGAACGCUGGCGGCGGGCUUAACACAUGCAAGUCGAGCGGAGAUGAGGUGCUUGCACCUUAUCUUAGCGGCGGACGGGUGAGUAAUGCUUAGGAAUCUGCCUAUUAGUGGGGGACAACAUUCCGAAAGGAAUGCUAGUACCGCAUACGCCCUACGGGGGAAAGCAGGGGAUCUUCGGACCUUGCGCUAAUAGAUGAGCCUAAGUCGGAUUAGCUAGUGUGUGGGGUAAAGGCCUAUCAAGGCGACGAUCUGUAGCGGGUCUGAGAGGAUGAUCCGCCAAACUGGGACUGAGACACGGCCCAGCCUCCUACGGGAGGCAGCAGUGGGGAAUAUUGGACAAUGGGCGGAAGCCUGAUCCAGCCAUGCCGCGUGUGUGAAGAAGGCCUUUUGGUGGUAAAGCACUUUAAGCGAGGAGGAGGCUACCUGGAUUAAUACUCUAGGAUAGUGGACGUUACUCGCAGAAUAAGCACCGGCUAACUCUGUGCCAGCCGCCGCGGUAACAC